rnacentral:rRNA from 1 species
AAUUUUGGACAAUGGGGGAAACCCUGAUCCAGCCAUCCCGCGUGUAUGAUGAAGGCCUNCGGGUUNUNACGUACUUUUGGCAGAGNCGAAAAGGUAUCCCCUAAUACGGGAUGUGGCUGACGGUAUCUGCAGAUAAAGCACCGGCUAACUACGUGCCAGCAGCCGCGGUAAUACGUAGAGUGCAAGCGUUAAUCGGAAUUACUGGGCGUAAAGAGUGUGUAGGCGGUUCGGAAAGAAAGAUGUGAAAUACCAGGGCUCAACCUUGGAACUGCAUUUUUAACUGCCGAGCUAGAGUAUGUCAGAGGGGGGUAGAAUUCCACGUGUAGCAGUGAAAUGCGUAGAUAUGUGGAGGAAUACCGAUGGCGAAGGCAGCCCCCUGGGAUAAUACUGACGCUCAGACACGAAAGCGUGGGGAGCAAACAGG